AGGGUCGGAAGGCAGCAACGGUGCGCAGGCCCCCGGCGCGGGCUCGGUG
rnacentral:SRP_RNA from 13 species